AACAAUCUUGAUUCUCUCUCCUCUAUCGCUCCUUCGGCUUCUGCGUAUUAAACACUCGAUAAUAAAGUCUACUCUCAGGGUCUCACUUCAUCCCACAUCCCGCUCUCUCUUCACCUUUUCCCGAAUCUUAAGGAGAACAAUUACAGGUUGUGAUUGAUGAGGUUGGAUGUUGUUUGAUGCUUUGAUUUUUCUUUCUUCCUCCAUUUCUUAGUGAAGCAUUUCUGUUUUAGCCUGUUGAUUUGAAGUUUGGGAAAUUUUUGUGGAUUUUUGUUUUAAUUGUGAUUUUGCAGCCCAUGGUUUUGUUAUUGAUUAGAUUUGAUCAAAGUGAUUCUUCUGAUAUGUAUGAUUCCAGUUGAUGAUUGGUUAUGAUACUUAUAAUUACACGCUUUUCUGCCCCUUGCGAUUCUAUUCUGCUCCGAACUCUGAUACUUAUUCUAUUUUAGUCCUUGCAAAUAGCGGCUUUGUGUUUCUUUUCUUUCUAUAUAAAUUAUUUAAUACCAACCCAAGUAACUAAUCUCAACAUAACUUAACUCCUUAAACUAUUAUAUCCUGGUUUAAAUUCUUACCGUUCAUGUUGUUGAACUCGAAAAAAA